rnacentral:rRNA from 1 species
AUGAGAUGUUUAGUCUCAUUCACCUCAAUCUCUACUCCUAAAGGGGAAGUUGCUAGUUUCGCCUCACUCCUUCCAACCCCUUGGCAAACCAUGUGUUACGCCCGCGAGCAUCUUACAGACGAUCUUUCGCUCAAGUGCAACCAAUUUAGAUGUGCCAAUUUGACGCGUGCAUUAACUCAAUCAAAUCGGCCAUUUCCCAAAACAACUUCAUGCAUUAACUCAUUCAAAUCAAAUCUUAAGAAAAUAUCAACUAAAUCCAAACUUUUCUUGCCUUCCACUACUCAUACCCAAAUCAAAUUAAAUCUUACCAAAACAUCAAAUAGUCAAAGUUGGCCGGCCCAUUUGAUGGGCCUGCACGUUUUUAUUUUCCGUGUUUUCUAUGUUCCAUUUUUUGUUUUCUUUUUUCUGUUUCAUUUUUUCUAUGAUCAAUAUGUUGGUUUGCUCGGCAUAGUAACAGAAUUGGGACAGACUUGUACGCCAAGGUGA